rnacentral:lncRNA from 1 species
UGGACACACAGAAAAUUUUCCAAAAUACUAUUGAUUUAAUGGAUAUUGCAUAAGAAGAUGCAUUCUACAACAAAGAAGCAAGUGAGGGUGCCGAUCUGUCGAGUCCCAGGAUACCCCAAGUUUUAGAGGAGGACUAUGUCAUUCACUUCUGGAAAUAGGGCAGUUCUUCAAUCUAUUGAGGAAGGAAAUAGGCGAAGAAAGUUAAACUUCUUUUCUCAAGGGGCCUAACUGUUGGCCCAGGCUGGGUUCCAAGAGCAGAACAAGGGAUGGUAACUGGUGAGGCUGUCCUUUUGCUGAAUGAAGAGAAGAAAAGAAGCAUUCCAAGUCUGUUUCCCCGGCACAGGAAGGACCAGGAAGCAAGGAAAUCUCCAAUUUUCAAGUCCACUGAGCAGAAUACAAGAACAGGGUCCAAAAUAAAGAGUUCUCCAUUAAGACCCAGCAAGAUGGAGCAAUGAAGUCCUGCAGGCAGGCUGAGCCUGGAAAGGAGCCCAGAG